rnacentral:rRNA from 1 species
GACGAACGCUGGCGGCGUGCCUAAUACAUGCAAGUUGAGCGAUGAAGAUUGGUGCUUGCCCCAAUUUGAAGAGCAGAGAACGGGUGAGUAACGCGUGGGGAAUCUGCCUUUGAGCGGGGGACAACAUUUGGAAACGAAUGCUAAUACCGCAUAACAACUUUAAACAUAAGUUUUAAGUUUGAAAGAUGCAAUUGCAUCACUCAAAGAUGAUCCCGCGUUGUAUUAGCUAGUUGGUGAGGUAAAGGCUCACCAAGGCGAUGAUACAUAGCCGACCUGAGAGGGUGAUCGGCCACAGUGGGACUGAGACACGGCCCAAACUCCUACGGGAGGCAGCAGUAGGGAAUCUUCGGCAAUGGACGAAAGUCUGACCGAGCAACGCCGCGUGAGUGAAGAAGGUUUUCGGAUCGUAAAACUCUGUUGGUAGAGAAGAACGUUGGUGAGAGUGGAAAGCUCAUCAAGUGACGGUAACUACCCAGAAAGGGACGGCUAACUACGUG